CUCUUAUGGUGAAAAUAGGUAGACACGAUAGUCUCAAAAUCUAUUACUUGUUAAAAGUGUGUUGGUUCAAAUCCAACUAAGAGUA
rnacentral:tRNA from 1 species